CUUCAUGUCUGGAUAAUACGCCGAAAGGGGUACGUAAUACCGGAUAUUCUUGCUUUUCAUAAGUUAUAGCAAGCAAAGGUGGCCUCUGCAUAUGCUACUGCAUGAAGAGGGGUCUGCGUACCAUUAGCUAGUAGGUGGGGUAAUGGCCUACCUAGGCGACGAUGGUUAGCGGGUCUGAGAGGAUGAUCCGCCACACUGGCACUGGAACACGGGCCAGACUCCUACGGGAGGCAGCAGUGAGGAAUAUUGCGCAAUGGGGGAAACCCUGACGCAGCGACGCCGCGUGAGUGAAGGAAGGCCUUCGGGUCGUAAAGCUCUGUCAAGAGGAAAGAAGUGUACAAUGGCUAAUACCUGUUGUAUUUGACGGUACCUCUAAAGGAAGCACCGGCUAACUCCGUGCCAGCAGCCGC
rnacentral:rRNA from 1 species